rnacentral:lncRNA from 1 species
UUUUCUGCAAGGCUAAUCAUCUAAAUUAAUUUGUUAUUUUUAUGAUUUACCAUUGCAUAAGUUAGUAUAAUUUGUUGACAAAGUUUUGUUUUGUGGGAUAGUAGUCAUAAAUUGAGUAAUAUUCAAGGUUUAUGUGUUUUUAUUUUGAUUCAUUAAAUAAGAUGUGUUUGAGUAAUAUUCAAGGUUUAUGUAUAUAUGAGAUUUUGUUGAUUGGCAUAAGGUGUUAGAUAAGAUGUGUUUGAAGUUGUGAAGAUGAAUAAGUGAGACAUGUGUAGCAGAUAUUAGUGAGUGCACAACACAUUAGUUAGGGUUUUGAAUAAUUGCUACAGGUUAGUGAUGUUAGAGAUUGUGUUUUGAGAAAUGUGUAGAUUGAAUUAUGUUUGUGUUUGAUUGUGACACCUUUGAUUAUUGA